rnacentral:misc_RNA from 1 species
GUAUUGGUUAUGGUAUAAUGUAUCAGUAAAGAGUGUAUAAGAGUUUGGUACAAGUGCAGACGAGCGGCGGGCGCUCACCGCGGCUAGCUGCCGCGGGAGACACGCGUUGAGGAGUGUGCACAUUACAUUGCACCCCCCUCCCCACUUCCCGCCAACCCAUCCGCAACGCAGCAUACGGUUCACAGUGUGUAGAUAUAAAGAUCCUGUGAUGAUCCUUCCGCAGGUUCACCUACGGAAA